UGGUUCUGGCAUCGAUGAAGAACGCAGCGAAAUGCGAUAAGUAAUGCGAAUUGCAGAAUUCCAGUGAGUCAUCGAAUCUUUGAACGCACAUUGCGCCCUUUGGUAUUCCGAAGGGCAUGCCUGUUCGAGCGUCAUUAUCACCCCUCAAGCCCUUCGGUUUGGUGUUGGAUGGCCGGUGAAAGGAGCCUUUCACCCCUCCCAAAGACAAUGACGGUGGCCUUGUUGGACCCCCGGUACACUGAGUUCUUUACGGAACACGUACUGGAUAAUAGGGUUCACGGGCGCGGUCUACCUCCCACUCGGGAGGAUCUUUUUUACAAGGUUGACCUCGGAUCAGGUAGGAAUACCCGCUGA
rnacentral:misc_RNA from 1 species